GGUUACUCUGUACAUUCUGAACUGGCCAUACGAUUCUCCUUUUCAUGUGUUGUUUGUGACAAUGCAGGUGAUUUCAAGAGUCAUGAGUGAAACAUCAAGUGGAAGCUUUUGUUCCAACGACAGCACCCUGCAGAGUCUGAUCGUGACGCUGCCUUUCGGUGGAGUUGGUGCCAGUGGAAUUGGUGCCUACCAUGGACGCUACAGCUUUGAUACAUUCUCUCAUAGGAAGUCAUGUCUGCUAAGAAGCACGCACUUGGAAUGUGUCACCUCCCUGCGCUACCCACCUUACGAUGACCGCAAUUUAUCGCUCAUAACGUGGGGCAGUAGCCUCUCCUGGAAAAGCCAGGGCUGGUGUCACAUCCUGUGAUUUGUGCGGAAGGGUCUAACUGGAACCUAACUUUCAAUUCAGAACUCAAUGUGUAAUUGUGCCAAUAUGACAAAAUGACGGCUGAAAUACAAUGAGAAAGGAGGGUAAAUUGAUUGAGACGAAGUUGCCAUAGCUGUCAAUGAUUGCCUUGACUGAUGACUGACAGAGAGGAUACAUUUCAAUACUUGAAUGAUGCAAGUGGAUGUUAGUUUUGCAAAGCUGUGCAUUCUCACUGAAAGCUUUCUAUAAAGAAGAUUCACCCGAACAGAUGUUUUGAUCUCAUGUAUAAUUAAUAUAAAAUAUGCACAUGACUGUACAGCCCAAA